AUUGAACGCUGGCGGCAUGCUUUACACAUGCAAGUCGAACGGUAGAGGGGGCAACCCCUUGAGAGUGGCGAACGGGUGAGUAAUGCAUCGGAACGUGCCCAGUCGUGGGGGAUAACGCAGCGAAAGCUGUGCUAAUACCGCAUACGAUCUCUGGAUGAAAGCGGGGGACCGAAAGGCCUCGCGCGAUUGGAGCGGCCGAUGGCAGAUUAGGUAGUUGGUGGGGUAAAGGCUCACCAAGCCAACGAUCUGUAGCUGGUCUGAGAGGACGACCAGCCACACUGGGACUGAGACACGGCCCAGACUCCUACGGGAGGCAGCAGUGGGGAAUUUUGGACAAUGGGCGCAAGCCUGAUCCAGCAAUGCCGCGUGCAGGAAGAAGGCCUUCGGGUUGUAAACUGCUUUUGUACGGAACGAAAAGGUCUGGGUUGAUACCCUGGGCACAUGACGGUACCGUAAGAAUAAGCACCGGCUAACUACGUGCCAGCAGCCGCGGUAA
rnacentral:rRNA from 1 species